AUACGUAGGGUGCGAGCGUUAAUCGGAAUUACUGGGCGUAAAGCGUGCGCAGGCGGAUUGUUAAGCAAGACGUGAAAUCCCCGGGCUUAACCUGGGAAUGGCGUUUUGAACUGGCAGUCUAGAGUGUGUCAGAGGGGGGUGGAAUUCCACGUGUAGCAGUGAAAUGCGUAGAGAUGUGGAGGAACACCGAUGGCGAAGGCAGCCCCCUGGGAUAACACUGACGCUCAUGUACGAAAGCGUGGGUAGCAAACAGGAUUAGAUACCCUGGUAGUCCACGCCCUAAACGAUGUCAACUGGUUGUUGGGGGAGUGAAAUCCCUUAGUAACGAAGCUAACGCGUGAAGUUGACCGCCUGGGGAGUACGGUCGCAAGAUUAAAACUCAAAUGAAUUGACGGGG
rnacentral:rRNA from 1 species